rnacentral:rRNA from 1 species
AUUCGCCCUUCGGGGUGCCCAGGCGCGAAAACUUUACAAUGCGGGAAACCGUGAUAAGGGAACUCCGAGUGCCCGUAAAAUCGGGCUGUCCAUCUGUUUAAAUAACAGGUGAAGAAAGGGCCGGGCAAGACCGGUGCCAGCCGCCGCGGUAAUACCGGCGGCUCGAGUGGUGGCCACUAUUACUGGGCUUAAAGCGUUCGUAGCUGGUCUGUUAAGUCUCUGGGGAAAUCUACUGGCUUAACCAAUAGGCGUUUCAGGGAUACUGGCAGACUAGGGACCGGGAGAGGUGAGAGGUACUCCAGGGGUAGGAGUGAAAUCCUGUAAUCCUUGGGGGACCACCUGUGGCGAAGGCGUCUCACCAGAACGGCUCCGACAGUGAGGGACGAAAGCUGGGGGAGCAAACCGGAUUAGAUACCCGGGUAGUCCCAGCCGUAAACGAUGCGCGUUAGGUGUAUCGGUGACCACGAGUCACCGAGGUGCCGAAGAGAAAUCGUGAAACGUGCCGCCUGGGAAGUACGGUCGCAAGGCUGAAACUUAAAGGAAUUGGCGGGGGAGCAC